GAUUAUUUCUACCUGUUCAAAUGCUAUCCUAACGCUGUAUUCAUGCCUAUGAAGUCUCUUCGGGCAUAGGGCAGGAAAGGGUGUGUGACAGGUGGCUCCUUGAUUUUCUUCUGUUCUCGUGAUGAGAAAGUGGUGCUGAAUGACUGGACUACAGUAAUUCCUCUUCAUCUUUGUGGCAUUCAAGUCCUCAGCAGCUCACAUCUAGGCUGGGAUGGCCACCUACCUGGUCUUCCCAUCUCUGUUUUGUGAUAAGGCAGAGACAAGGAGCCUGAUGAUGUAGCCUACCCAGGUCAGCUUCCCGGGUCAGAGCGGAGAAGUGAGUCAAAUUGGUCAAGAAAUUUCACCUUCUCACCUGGAUGAAUUAAAAGACCUGACAUUGAGAUGACCACCUAUGUCCAUGCCCUGGUGUCAAGAAUCAACUUGAGAAUGGAUCUAUCACAUUUGAACUGUACUAAGAUACCUGAGAGAAGAUUCCCAGAUCUUGUCUGUAUUUAUAUGUUUAUUUUUUUGUGGUAAAUAUACAUAAAAUUUACCAUUUUAACCAUCUUAAGUGUACAAUUCAUUGGCAUGUUCACAAUGUUGUACAUCACAACUAUCCAUUUUCAGAAUUUCUUCAUUGUCCAAAACAGAAGCUUUGUUCCCAUUAAACUACAAUUCCUCAUUCUUGCUUCCCCCAUGAUCCCUGAUAA